UACGAAGGGGGCUAGCGUUGCUCGGAAUUACUGGGCGUAAAGGGCGCGUAGGCGGACAUUUUAGUCAGAGGUGAAAGCCCAGGGCUCAACCUUGGAAUUGCCUUUGAUACUGGAUGUCUUGAGUUCGGGAGAGGUGAGUGGAAUGCCGAGUGUAGAGGUGAAAUUCGUAGAUAUUCGGCGGAACACCAGUGGCGAAGGCGACUCACUGGCCGAGUACUGACGCUGAGGUGCGAAAGCGUGGGGAGCAAACAGG
rnacentral:rRNA from 1 species